rnacentral:tRNA from 6 species
GAUUAAAUGGCUGAAGAUUAGGCGAUAGAUUGUAAAUCUAUUUAUAAGAAUAAAUUCUUUUUAAUCA